UUGGAUAUAAGUCCAUAUAUUGGCAUUCCGUUUCCAUUUUAUUUGUUCAGGAGUUAGAUGUAAGUCCAUAUAUUGGCAUUCUGUUUCCGUUUUGCAAGGAGUUGGAUAUAAGUCCAUAUAUUGGCAUUCCGUUUCCAUUUUAUUUGUUCAGGAGUUAGAUGUAAGUCCAUAUAUUGGCAUUCUGUUUCCGUUUUGCUUUUCAGGAGUUGGAUGUAAGUCC
rnacentral:lncRNA from 1 species